UAAUUCGAAGCAACGCGAAGAACCUUACCAGGUCUUGACAUCCUCUGACAACUCUAGAGAUAGAGCGUUCCCCUUCGGGGGACAGAGUGACAGGUGGUGCAUGGUUGUCGUCAGCUCGUGUCGUGAGAUGUUGGGUUAAGUCCCGCAACGAGCGCAACCCUUGAUCUUAGUUGCCAGCAUUUAGUUGGGCACUCUAAGGUGACUGCCGGUGACAAACCGGAGGAAGGUGGGGAUGACGUCAAAUCAUCAUGCCCCUUAUGACCUGGGCUACACACGUGCUACAAUGGAUGGUACAAAGGGCUGCAAGACCGCGAGGUCAAGCCAAUCCCAUAAAACCAUUCUCAGUUCGGAUUGUAGGCUGCAACUCGCCUACAUGAAGCUGGAAUCGCUAGUAAUCGCGGAUCAGCAUGCCGCGGUGAAUACGUUCCCGGGCCUUGUACACACCGCCCGUCACACCACGAGAGUUUGUAACACCCGAAGUCG
rnacentral:rRNA from 1 species